rnacentral:ncRNA from 1 species
ACAUUAGAAAAUCUUAGUAUGCCUUUCUAUCCACAGUGAUGUUCUGCCACGGACGGCAGAACAAGGCUUCACGAGCCAUGGAUGGCUCGUUGAAUGCCGGUCACGUGACUUUGGAAAUAAUCUUUGUCAGGCAUACCUAGAUUUUUCUUAUGUUCGC